rnacentral:rRNA from 1 species
CUUUACUGCAACUUGGCAGUGAUUUUCGGGAUGUUCUGCGUAGGAUAGGUGGGAGGCUAUGAGGCUGGGCUUCUGGGUUCAGCGGAGCCAACGUUGAAAUACCACCCUGGAUAUUCUGGAAAUCUAACCUAGGCCCGUGAUCCGGGUCAGGGACACUGCCUGGCGGGCAGUUUGACUGGGGCGGUCGCCUCCAAAAAAGUAACGGAGGCGUGCGAAGGUUCCCUCAGCCUGAUUGGAAACCAGGCGUAGAGUGCAAACGCACAAGGGAGCUUAACUGUGAGACCGACAGGUCGAACAGGCGCGAAAGCAGGCGUUAGUGAUCCGGUGGUUCUGCAUGGAAGGGCCAUCGCUUAUCGGAUAAAAGGUA